AGUUUUGGUCGUAGAGUUGCGACCAACCAAAAUUAAAGAACGCUCAUGAGGA
rnacentral:ncRNA from 1 species